rnacentral:rRNA from 1 species
UACAGAGGUCUCAAGCGUUGUUCGGAUUCAUUGGGCGUAAAGGGUGCGUAGGUGGCGCCGUAAGUCAGGUGUGAAAUCUCGGGGCUCAACCCCGAAACUGCACUUGAUACUGCGGUGCUCGAGUACUGGAGAGGAGAUUGGAAUUUACGGUGUAGCAGUGAAAUGCGUAGAUAUCGUAAGGAAGACCAGUGGCGAAGGCGAAUCUCUGGACAGCUACUGACACUGAGGCACGAAGGCCAGGGGAGCAAACGGG